CGUGCUAUACAUGCAAGUCGAGCGAACAGAUGAGAAGCUUGCUUCUCUGAUGUUAGCGGCGGACGGGUGAGUAACACGUGGGUAACCUACCUAUAAGACUGGGAUAACUCCGGGAAACCGGGGCUAAUACCGGAUAAUAUUUUGAACCGCAUGGUUCAAUAGUGAAAGACGGUUUCGGCUGUCACUUAUAGAUGGACCCGCGCCGUAUUAGCUAGUUGGUAAGGUAACGGCUUACCAAGGCGACGAUACGUAGCCGACCUGAGAGGGUGAUCGGCCACACUGGAACUGAGACACGGUCCAGACUCCUACGGGAGGCAGCAGUAGGGAAUCUUCCGCAAUGGGCGAAAGCCUGACGGAGCAACGCCGCGUGAGUGAUGAAGGUCUUCGGAUCGUAAAACUCUGUUGUUAGGGAAGAACAAAUUUGUUAGUAACUGAACAAGUCUUGACGGUACCUAACCAGAAAGUCCACGGCUAACUACGUGCCAGCAGCCGCGGUAAUACGUAGGUGGCAAGCGUUAUCCGGAAUUAUUGGGCGUAAAGCGCGCGUAGGCGGUUUCUUAAGUCUGAUGUGAAAGCCCACGGCUCAACCGUGGAGGGUCAUUGGAAACUGGGAAACUUGAGUGCAGAAGAGGAGAGUGGAAUUCCAUGUGUAGCGGUGAAAUGCGCAGAGAUAUGGAGGAACACCAGUGGCGAAGGCGGCUCUCUGGUCUGUAACUGACGCUGAUGUGCGAAAGCGUGGGGAUCAAACAGGAUUAGAUACCCUGGUAGUCCACGCCGUAAACGAUGAGUGCUAAGUGUUAGGGGGUUUCCGCCCCUUAGUGCUGCAGCUAACGCAUUAAGCACUCCGCCUGGGGAGUACGACCGCAAGGUUGAAACUCAAAGGAAUUGACGGGGACCCGCACAAGCGGUGGAGCAUGUGGUUUAAUUCGAAGCAACGCGAAGAACCUUACCAAAUCUUGACAUCCUUUGACCGCUCUAGAGAUAGAGUCUUCCCCUUCGGGGGACAAAGUGACAGGUGGUGCAUGGAUUGUCGUCAGCUCGUGUCGUGAGAUGUUGGGUUAAGUCCCGCAACGAGCGCAACCCUUAAGCUUAGUUGCCAUCAUUAAGUUGGGCACUCUAGGUUGACUGCCGGUGACAAACCGGAGGAAGGUGGGGAUGACGUCAAAUCAUCAUGCCCCUUAUGAUUUGGGCUACACACGUGCUACAAUGGAUAAUACAAAGGGCAGCGAAUCCGCGAGGCCAAGCAAAUCCCAUAAAAUUAUUCUCAGUUCGGAUUGUAGUCUGCAACUCGACUACAUGAAGCUGGAAUCGCUAGUAAUCGUAGAUCAGCAUGCUACGGUGAAUACGUUCCCGGGUCUUGUACACACCGCCCGUCACACCACGAGAGUUUGUAACACCCGAAGCCGGUGGAGUAACCUUUUAGGAGCUAGCCGUCGAAGUGACAAAAAGG
rnacentral:rRNA from 1 species